GUGAGGAAUAUUGGUCAAUGGGCGAAAGCCUGAACCAGCCAUGUCGCGUGAAGGAUGAAGGUCCUAUGGAUUGUAAACUUCUUUUGCAGGAGGGUAAAGUGAGCUACGUGUAGUUCAUUGCAAGUACCCUGCGAAUAAGCAUCGGCUAACUCCGUGCCAGCAGCCGCGGUAAUACGGAGGAUGCGAGCGUUAUCCGGAUUUAUUGGGUUUAAAGGGUGCGUAGGCGGACUAAUUAGUCAGCGGUGAAAUUUUGCGGCUCAACCGUAAAACUGCCGUUGAAACUGUUAGUCUUGAGUGCGGUAGAGGUAGGCGGAAUGUGUGGUGUAGCGGUGAAAUGCUUAGAUAUCACACAGAACACCGAUUGCGUAGGCAGCUUACUGGAGCGCAACUGACGCUGAGGCACGAAAGCGUGGGGAUCGAACAGGAUUAGAAACCCGAGUAGUCC
rnacentral:rRNA from 1 species